UCUCAGUUCCUCAGCGAGUCUGGGGGUGGGGAAGGCAGCGAGCCCCCUUCAUCAGCUCCUCGGAGAGCCGGGAUGGGGGGGGGGGACGACUGGUGAGCCCCUCCGCAGCUCCUCGGAGAGCCGGGAAGGGUGGGAAGCCCGGAAGGGAAUCCGGUUUAAUUCCAUUACAAGAUUAUGCUCUUAAAAAUAUCAUCGGUUUGUGCAGAUAAAUGAUCCUUUAACGCAUUAUCUCUUCAGAAAUUCUUUGAGGAUUUCGUGGAACAUUUGCAAUAGUUUUCUAUACAGAUUACUUAAGAUUUAUUUUUUUUAAACAAAAGUUUUUUACAAUGGCACUACUGCAGUGAAACUAAGAAACAGGUUGGCUUGCCCUGGGCUGGAGAGCCUGGGGGCUAAACUAGACCUGAUUACAAGAGGAGCCUCACCUGAGGGGAAUUAGGUGCUUUAAUAUAAGACAGCAGGAAGCUGCAGGGAUGUGUUUGGUCGAGUAAGAAAUGACGGUGCACCUUGAAAAGCUUGGCAGUCACAUGAAAAGGCAUGAGGAGGAGGGUAUUUCCUUGAUGGUCUGGAAAGAGAAAAAG